rnacentral:rRNA from 1 species
UUACUGGGCGUAAAGCGCGCGUAGGCGGUUUGUUAAGUCAGAUGUGAAAUCCCCGGGCUCAACCUGGGAAUGGCAUUUGAGACUGGCAGGCUAGAGUAUGGUAGAGGUGAGUGGAAUUUCAGGUGUAGCGGUGAAAUGCGUAGAGAUCUGAAGGAACAUCAGUGGCGAAGGCGACUCACUGGGCCAUUACUGACGCUGAGGUGCGAAAGCGUGGGUAGCAAACAGGAUUAGAUACCCUGGUAGUCCACGCCCUAAACGAUGUCAACUAGGUGUAUGGAGAAAAUAUUCUUUGUGUAUCGAAGCUAACGCGAUAAGUUGACCGCCUGGGGAGUACGGUCGCAAGACUAAAACUCAAAUGAAUUGACGGGGGCCCGCACAAGCGGUGGAGCAUGUGGUUUAAUUCGAUGCAACGCGAAGAACCUUACCUGGCCUUGACAUGUA